GGUGCUGUAGCAUAGUGGUUUUUGUGUGUGACAACAACUCUGGAGACCAGAGUUCGAUCUUCUGCUGGGCCA